CCUACGGGAGGCUGCAGUGGGGAAUAUUGCACAAUGGGGGAAACCCUGAUGCAGCGACGCCGCGUGAGUGAAGAAGUAAUUCGUUACGUAAAGCUCUAUCAGCAGGGAAGAAAAUGACGGUACCUGAGUAAGAAGCCCCGGCUAACUACGUGCCAGCAGCCGCGGUAAUACGUAGGGGGCAAGCGUUAUCCGGAUUUACUGGGUGGAAAGGGAGCGUAGACGGUGCGCCAAGUCUGGAGUGAAAUGCCGCAGCUUAACUGCGGAACUGCUUUGGAAACUGGCGAACUAGAGUGCGGGAGGGGUAAGCGGAAUUCCUAGUGUAGCGGUGAAAUUCGUAGAAAUUAGGGGGAACACCGGUGGCGAAGGCGGCGUACUGGACCGUAACUGACGUUGAGGCUCGAAAGCGUGGGGAGCAGACAGGAUUAGGUACCCGAGUAGUC
rnacentral:rRNA from 1 species